ACGGAGGGUGCAAGCGUUAAUCGGAAUUACUGGGCGUAAAGCGCACGCAGGCGGUUUGUUAAGUCAGAUGUGAAAUCCCUGGGCUCAACCUGGGAACUGCAUCUGAUACUGGCAAGCUUGAGUCUCGUAGAGGGGGGUAGAAUUCCAGGGGUAGCGGUGAAAUGCGUAGAGAUCUGGGGGAACACCGGUGGCGAAGGCGGCCCCCUGGGCGAGGACUGACGGUGAGGUGCGAAAGCGUGGGGAGCAAACAG
rnacentral:rRNA from 1 species